AUUGAACGCUGGCGGCAGGCCUAACACAUGCAAGUCGAACGGUAACAGGAAGAAGCUUGCUUCUUUGCUGACGAGUGGCGGACGGGUGAGUAAUGUCUGGGUAACUUCCUGAUGGGGGGGGAUAACUACUGGAAACGGUAGCUAAUACCGCAUAACGUCGCAAGACCAAAGAGGGGGACCUUCGGGCCUCUUGCCAUCGGAUGUGCCCAGAUGGGAUUAGCUAGUAGGUGGGGUAACGGCUCACCUAGGCGACGAUCCCUAGCUGGUCUGAGAGGAUGACCAGCCACACGGGAACUGAGACACGGUCCAGACUCCUACGGGAGGCAGCAGUGGGGAAUAUUGCACAAUGGGCGCAAGCAUGAUGCAGCCAUGCCGAGUGUAUGAAGAAGGCCUUCGGGUUGUAAAGUACGUUCAGCGGGGAGGAAGGGAGUAAAGUUAAUACCUUUGCUCAUUGACGGUACCCGCAGAAGAAGCACCGGCUAACUACGUG
rnacentral:rRNA from 1 species